ensembl:lncRNA
CCCAGCCCUGCAGCCGGGUUCCUCAGCCUGGCCAGGCUGGUGGUCCAGCUGUCUGCAUCCAGGGGGUAGUGACAGGUGCCCCGUGGGCACCGCCCGGUCUCCGUGGUGAGGCCUUCCACUGGGAAACCUCGAGGGCUCCGAGCUACCCCAGGUGAAUGGUGAACCAAACCACGGUGGACACUACCGCUUUCUUCUGAGAUGGAAUCUGCUGCAGCGGCCAAGCUGGUCUCGUGCUCCUGGGCUGGAGGAGGGACCCUCCUGCCUCGGUCUCCAGUAGCUGAACCUGCAGGUGUGCUGUAUCAUGCCUGUCUUGUGCCAUACAAUAAAAAUGACAGGAGGCCAAGGUUGAGGAGUAAACUUGUGUAGUUGGACCCAGCCAGCGGGACAAAACUCAAAACAGAGCUGCUUGGGGUGAAAUCCCAAUCCCCAGGCUGAAGCUAAGCUGUUUAUCUUGGCCAAGAAAUCAGGGUCAGGGAUGAUGCCGCAUUUCCCAAACAGACUGUGUAGUUCAGCCUGGCCUGGAACUCACUACCAGGAACUCAUGGCGAUCCUCCUGCCUCAGGCUCCCGAGUGCUGGGAUACAGCCGUGCACCACCACACCUGGCUGCACGCAAAUCCCCACUAGGAAGGCGACCCUCUCAGACUGCGGCACCGUCCUGCAGUCCCCUUUCUGGCCACUGGGUGUCAGGCGCGCGCCAUGCAGCUGCCAGCCCGGCGCGAGGGAAGGCGGGCAGCGGUUUGGAGGCGACACUGAGAAGGCAGUUUGCGGACAACCCUGGCUGUGCUUCCUGGGAUGCUUCAGAGGGCCUCGGAAGACCUGAGAGAAGCCCGUGCGCACUGUGAUCCCAGCACGCGGCGAGGCUGAGACAGGAAGAUCACAAGUCUGAGCCCAGCCCGGGCAGUUUAGAGACUUAGCAAGACCCUGUCUCAAAAUAAAAGAUCCAAAAGGGCUGGGAUGUAGCUGAGCUCCAAGGCCCUAGGUUCAAUCCCCAGAACAAAACAGAACAAACAAAAACAAAAAAACCACGCACACAAAACAGAAGGAAACAAAAUAUUAUGGUUUGUGUCUAGCUGUCCCCCCCAAAGCCUUAUUCGGUCACAGGUGGGGCUCUUUCAGAGGAGGCUGCAUCUAGAGUGUGACGCUGGGAUUGAUCCGUGGUGCAGUGCUAGCU